GGCUUUGGUCACUAAUUUCGAAAACGAUUAUGAUUUGUGUGUAAUAGAUGAAGUGAUAAAAAUUACCAACUAGCCCGUGAUUUCUCCCGCUGUAUGUCUACAGUCUUGACCAUCCUCAAUAGUGAUGUCCCAACGAACAGCUAGAGAAGAGAUUCUUAGAAAGCGCAAAAGCGAUCUGCAUAGUGAAGGACUGGACAGUCUCGUCUAUGACUUGCUGAAAAAUGAACGACGACGGUUCUCUACCAUUUUUAACCGUUUCUACGCGACCGACUAGCAUCCCGCCGCCGUCGGCUCCUCGUAAACAUACGAGACCUUGAGCUAGCAACGGGAGAAACCUCGUGAGAUCGCCUUCGUUUUCUUAUUUUUGUCCCUGUUUUACAGUUGUGAUUGCAGCAGAUGAUGUAAAGUAAAAAAAUAAAUGGGGCUUUAUUGGCGGCUAGCCAGUACUGUUUGUUCAUUUACGGUUUUCGACUCGCUUGAUGAAAGCGGCGUAGACAGUCACGCGGGACUGACCUAGUUAACAUGAGAUCUGUGCAGUCAAGUGAUAAUAGUGGAAAUGAAAAUCGAAAACGAAAUGUUCAAGUGAAUUUCUUUGGCUUCCCAUUUUGUUUGUCUCUUGUUGAGUUUUAGCUUUUUAACGUGUACUGCGUGUUUCAUUGCAACAUUGUUUUCACAAGGUAACCUUGACUAAAGUGUUCUUUUACGGG